rnacentral:rRNA from 1 species
UACGUAGGGACCGAGCGUUGUCCGGAAUCAUUGGGCGUAAAGAGCGUGUAGGCGGCCAACUAAGUCCUGCGUGAAAUCUCGGGGCUCAACCCCGAGCGGUCGUGGGAACUGGUUGGCUAGAGUGCGGGAGAGGAGCGUGGAAUUCCCAGUGUAGAGGUGAAAUUCGUAGAUAUUGGGAAGAACGACCGGUGGCGAAGGCGGCGCUCUGGACCGAUACUGACGCUGAGGCGCGAAAGCGUGGGGGAGCAAACAGG